rnacentral:rRNA from 1 species
CCUACGGGUGGCAGCAGUGAGGAAUAUUGGUCAAUGGACGAGAGUCUGAACCAGCCAAGUAGCGUGAAGGAUGACUGCCCUAUGGGUUGUAAACUUCUUUUAUAUGGGAAUAAAAUGUUCCACGUGUGGGAUUUUGUAUGUACCAUAUGAAUAAGGAUCGGCUAACUCCGUGCCAGCAGCCGCGGUAAUACGGAGGAUCCGGGCGUUAUCCGGGUUUAUUGGGUUUAAAGGGAGCGUAGGUGGAUUGUUAAGCCAGUUGUGAAAGUUUGCGGCUCAACCGUAAAAUUGCAGUUGAAACUGGCAGUCUUGAGUACAGUAGAGGUGGGCGGAAUUCGUGGUGUAGCGGUGAAAUGCUUAGAUAUCACGAAGAACUCCGAUGGCGAAGGCAGUUCACUGGACUGCAACUGACACUGAGGCUCGAAAGUGUGGGUAUCAAACAGGAUUAGAUACCCCAGUAGUC